rnacentral:lncRNA from 1 species
ACAAAAUGUACUUUAAGGUCACAUUAAGGUCAAAUCAGCUUCCUGGUUGGACAACAUUGACUGCUUCUUAAGAUCAUUUAUAUAAAAAAGAAGAUGUGGUAUAAUUUGCUAUUGAGACAAGAGACCAAAUGACACAGACAUUAACAACUAUCGGUCACUAUAUGACCUUCAACAAUCAGGAAAGCUCAUACCCCAUAGUCAGUUACAAAAGGCCC